AGAGAGGAGUUUUUGUGAGAAAUAAAGCAAGCAGCGCAUAAGAAUAUUAAAAUUAGCAUACUUUUAUACAACACUGAGGUGUGACUGUCACAUUUUGUUUUUGCUGCAAGGUGUGCAAUUAAAGAAGACACAUAAAUUCAGCUAAGCUUAAGGUGCAGGGUUUUCAAUUUUUAUAUUUUCUCUCAAAAAUACUGUCUCUCUAAAUGGGAGUCUAUCGGGACAUGAAUAAGUUGCUUGUUUUAGUUAAGGGAGAAAUCUGCCAUAGGAAGGGAGUUAGAUGUAUGAUUUUGAUUCCCUGCAGGAUGGAAAAAAUGAUAUCAUUAGUAUUAAAAACCCAUCAACACCCAGCAUGUUAUUGAGGCUGUGGUUGGAAAUGCUAAGUGAUACUGACACGAAUAUUUUCAGGGUCAUUUGCAGAAAGACUGUAGAAUCAGAACUAGACACUUUUAGACUUGCUGAACAAAAAAGAAAUUUGAAAAACAAAAUAGUUGAGUUUGCAGAGUUAUAGUCCUAUUUCAAGGUUACUGUUAGUUAAAGAAUUGACACUUACUCUACACCUUUCCCCACACAAACAGCACGGGAGAGUUACGGUUGCUCUUCUAAAGGUGUAGCCAAUUGAUUCCAUAGUGAUUCUGGCUUAAAGGGUUAGAAAAACCUUGCUCCUCUCAUUCUUAUUUCCCAGAGUGACCCCUUGAAGAUUAAGAAUAGGGAACCUAAAUGGAAUACACUUUUGAACUUGCUAACUGCCAAUGCCGUUCAAUGACAUGUGUUACCCAAAAGUAGGGUAACUUAACUUCCUUCCUUUCGUUCAUUUCUUUGGAGAUAAGGAUGCUAAUCCAGUAGGACUACUGUAGCCAUAACUCAUGCAGAAGAGAAUGAAGAAAGUUAAAGAUGCUAAAUUGAGUAUAUACAUAUAUGUAAAGAAAGAUCAUUAACCCCAUUUAAAACAUGUGGGUUAAUGAGUCUGUAAAAAGUGAAAUAAACGUUUCUCAACUCAACUUCUGAAGCUAGUGCAACCACAGGCCCUCCAGGAUUCCAUCUUAUCAACAGAAUAAUUAAGAAAUUGUCUUUCAGAAAAUUUGCAAAGUCAUGUAGCCAGAGCACGCACAGAAGAAAUCUUUACCUGAAAUGACAGUGGAACCAAAGAUUCUCCUCCCCAUGAAAACAAAAAGACCAAGACAUGAAUGGAACUUAAAAGUUGGACUCAACAGAAAUGUGGGGUCCAUCAUUCAGGAAGAUCAGAUGUUAAAAUUGCUUCCCCACCUUUCCAUAAAUGUUUAGAACAUUACAUUGCUUGAAACCCACCAAUCAAAACCUGUCCCAGGGCCAGCCCAGUGGCACAGUGGUUAACGUCAUAUGCUUUGCUUCAGCAGCCUGGUUCAGAUCCCAGGUGCAGACCUACACACUGCUUAUCAAGCCAUGUGGCAGGUGUCCCACAUGUAAAAUAGAGGAAGAUGCCCACAGAUGUUAGCUCAGGGGCCAAUCUUCCUCAGCAAAAAGAGGAGGAUUGUUGGCAGAUGUUAGCUCAGGGCUAAUCUUCCUCAAAAGAAAAGAAAAGAAAAACACCUGUCCCACUAGAGUUUCUGUCUGCCAGCCUGUUCUCCAUAACCUCUUAAAUUUCACCCCAAAUCCUGAAUCAGGGAGGCAGAUCUGAGGGCACAUACCCUGUCUCACCCCGGCAGAUUGAUCUUGCAGAAUAAAGUUGAUUUCUUUUACCAAAAGCCGAUGAUGUAAUAAAUUGGCUUUUUUAAUGCACAUUGAGCAAAAGAACCCUAAUUUUGUGCAGUAACACCAGCAUUACCCUAAUUC
rnacentral:lncRNA from 1 species